rnacentral:tRNA from 1 species
AGCCCUAGGGUGUCACACGUAAGAUUGCAAAUCUUGAAACGCAGCUUAGAAUCUGCUGGGGCUU